rnacentral:rRNA from 1 species
AAUAUUGCACAAUGGGCGGAAGCCUGAUGCAGCGACGCCGCGUGGGGGAUGACGGUCUUCGGAUUGUAAAAUUCUUUCACCGGGGACGAUAAUGACGGUACCCGGAGAAGAAGCCCCGGCUAACUUCGUGCCAGCAGCCGAGGUAAUACGAAGGGGGCUAGCUUUGUUCGGAUUUACUUGGCGUAAAGCGCACGUAGGCGGAUUGGUCAGUUAGAGGUGAAAUCCCGAAGCUCAACUUCGGAACUGCCUUUAAUACUGCCAGUCUCGAGUCCGGAAGAGGUAAGUGGAACUCCUAGUGUAGAGGUGGAAUUCGUAGAUAUUAGGAAGAACACCAGUGGCGAAGGCGGCUUACUGGUCCGGAACUGACGCUCAGACACGAAAGCGUGGGGAGCAAAC